UGUUUCGGCUAGGGGGUCAUCCCGACUUACCAACCCGAUGCAAACUGCGAAUACCGGAGAAUGUUAUCACGGGAGACACACGGCGGGUGCUAACGUUCGUCGUGAAGAGGGAAACAACCCAGACCGCCGGCUAAGGUCCCAAAGUCAUAAUUAAGUGGGAAACGAAGUGGGAAGGCUCAGACAGCCAGGAUGUUGGCUUAGAAGCAGCCAUCAUUUAAAGAAAGCGUAAUAGCUCACUGGUCGAGUCGGCCUGCGCGGAAGAUGUAACGGGGCUAAAUUAUGCACCGAAGCCGCGGCAGCGAUAUGUAAAUAUUGUUGGGUAGGGGAGCGUUCUGUAAGCCUGUGAAGGUGACCUGUGAGGGUUGCUGGAGGUAUCAGAAGUGCGAAUGCUGACAUAAGUAACGAUAAUGCGGGUGAAAAACCCGCACGCCGGAAGACCAAGGGUUCCUGUCCAACGUUAAUCGGGGCAGGGUGAGUCGACCCCUAAGGCGAGGCUGAAAAGCGUAGUCGAUGGGCAACGGGUUAAUAUUCCCGUACUGGUGGUAACUGCGAAGGGGGGACGGAGAAAGCUAAAUCAUCCGGGCGACGGUUGUCCCGGUUUAAGCGUGCAGGUGGACUGACCAGGCAAAUCCGGUCGGUUGUUAACAC
rnacentral:rRNA from 1 species